GUGCCAGCGCCGCGGUAAUACCGGCAGCCCAAGUGAUGGCCGCUGUUAUUGGGCCUAAAGCGUCCGUAGCUGGCCGCACGAGUCCGUCGGGAAAUCCGCCCGCUUAACGCGCAGGCGUCCAGCGGAAACUGUCCGGCUUGGGGCCGGAAGAUCCGAGGGGUACGUCCGGGGUAGGAGUGAAAUCCCGUAAUCCUGGACGGACCGCCGGUGGCGAAAGCGCCUCGGAAGGACGGACCCGACGGUGAGGGACGAAAGCCAGGGUCUCGAACCGGAUUAGAAACCCUUGUAGUCC
rnacentral:rRNA from 1 species